rnacentral:rRNA from 1 species
UACGUAGGGUGCGAGCGUUGUCCGGAAUUAUUGGGCGUAAAGAGCUCUAGGCGGUGUGUCACGUCGGCCGUGAAAACCUGCAGCUUAACUGUGGCGUGCGGUCGAUACGGGCAUCACUGGAGUUCGGCAGGGGAGACUGGAAUUCCUGGUGUAGCGGUGGAAAUGCGUAGAUAUCUGGAGGAACACCGGUGGCGAAGGCGACAUCCUGGACCGGUAUUGACGCUGAGGCGCGAAAGCCAGGGGAGCAAACGGG